AUGCAUUUUGAAGUCGUUCUUCUUCCUCUUUACUUAUUUAUUUAUUUUUCUUUUUUUGGAAUCGAAAUAUAUAUUUACUUAACAAAACGUGCUUGUUAAUCGCAGUUUUUUACAAAUGUACAAUAUUAGUUUAUAUAGGAAAGGUCACCUGUAGAUCGUGUAUCCUGGCUCGCGUGAUUAAAUGCCGAAUUUUUUUUUUGUAAACAUAUUUGCAUUGACGUCAUCGUCGGAUAGGAUUUUUUUAAUUACCAAAUGUAACACUUGUAAAUGGACACUUGUUUUUAACUUAUGUAGUUAUGCAAAUUUUUGCUUGUCUUGUUUUGAUAAAGUUAUACUUCUGUGCACAUCGACGCAGUACAUCCUCUUCCUAAUUUUUCUUAGUUAUAACAGUGCAGAAACAUAAUCUAUACUACUGUGCACAUCGACGCAGUACAUCCUCCUCCUAAUUUUCCUUAGUUAUAACAGUGCAGAAACACCAGCAAACGUCGCUGAUUAUCAGAUAACAUAAAAACAAAUUUGCCAGUUCGUGUGCCAAGUCUACAUCAAUAAUCGAUUACUAAUCGUUUGCUUAAGAAUUUAGUUAACUGUAACGAUAACUCGAAUAAUUUAACACUUCAAAAUUCACUUACUUAAAACGACAGUAAAUCCAAAAAAAAAAAAAAUAAUAAUAAAUUUUUGAUCUGAUGACGACAGUUUUCGGUUGUUGUUGUUGUUAUUAUCUCCUUUAAAGAUGGUAAAUAAAAUUAUCUCCAAUCAGGAAUCGAAUUUAAUCCGCCAUUAAAGUUUAACGAUUGGAAGAAAACGAUUUUUUUUUAUUAUUUAUUAAAUUAAAGACUUAUCGACUGGCGGGUCAGAAUUACGGAUUUUACGAACCGUGUCUUACGGGUGGAGCAAAUUAAGUUUUGUAUUUUUUUUAAAGAUUUUUCGGGGGCGAUGCACGCCAUCUCUUCAGUUAUUCUUGACAUGUUAUAUAUACGUGACGUGGAAAUUAAUGAAGGAAAUUGUCAAUUAUUUCCGUUGCAAAUCCACUCGUGAAAUAACUAGCAAUUUUUUUUUUAUUGUACUUCAGAAACGGUGUCGCACAAUCUUCUACAUUAAUUUGUAGUCACUUUGAUUUGUUCGAGAGAAUUCGACCCU
rnacentral:lncRNA from 1 species